rnacentral:misc_RNA from 1 species
GUAUUUAUAGACCUUGAAAUGAAAGUAAACAUUGCAACCUAACCUCAAAAUUCACAUGGAUUUGAAAAGCUUCAACGUUAUUCGGCACUUUUUAUCAAAUUUAAUAAUAAGAUUGCACUUUGAUUUAGAAAUAAAAUAAUUUUUAGUUUGUUUCAUAAUGUCAAUCACUGGUCGAGAAAUAAUAACGCUUCAAAUAGGACAUUAUUCAAAUUAUGUUGGAGCACAUUGGUGGAACUUGCAGGAAGCUGCAUUCUCUAAUAAUACAGAAAAUCCGUCAGAGAUAAACAAUGACGUUCUCUUCAGAGAAGGACAAACUAGACGAUGUGAAGUUACAUUCACUCCUCGCCUUGUGUUGAGCGACCUGCAAGGCAGUCUUGGAGCGCUGACUGAAGAUGGCGGUCUGUAUGAGGAUCACCUGCAGCCCGAUCCAUCGCUUGCUCUCUGGCCGCGAGAUAAGGUGCAAGUGGAGGUCGCUGAGGAGCCUCUCGAGAAGAACGAAUUCCUUAGCGACUUGGAUGCCGGUUGCAGUAGGGUGGAACUCGUGCGUAACAGUGAUGAUCUGAAGAGAGAGAAAGCCAUCCCGAAACGUUACAAGCUGGAUGACUCUGUCAACGUUUGGUCGGAUUAUCUGAGAACUUUCUACCAUCCCAGAUCCCUGGCUAUCACUAAUAAAUACAAGCACAAUGACGAGAUAACUCCUUUCAAGCUCUUCGGCCAGGGCACCGCCUUGUGGAAAAAUGAGCAUUACCAGGAAGAUUUCACUGAUCGUAUCCGCGCCUACAUGGAAGAAGCAGACAACGCUCAGGGCUUCCAGGUACUCAUGGACGCCCACGACGCAUUCUCCGGUAUGUCCUGUUCCGCUCUGCAAUACCUGAAGGACGAGUACCCGUCGAAGGCCAGCCUCGCCGUGGUCUGCAUGCCGGCCUGGUUCGGCGAGUCCUCUACUCAGGACGACUCGGCGAGAGUGCUGAACUGGGCGUUGACUCUAGGCUCGCUGCCGGAACUCUGCUCACUGUUCACACCGGUCAGCACGGUCGAAAGUGGCUGGCGGUAUCCAAACACGUACCGGACGUUUCCGUAUCUCAAUUACAAUAGCCAACUGCACUACCACAGUAGUGCAAUCGUGGCGGCCGGUCUGGAGACGGCCAGCCUGCUAUAUCGAGUGCGGUCCACACGCUCGGCGAGUCUCCAGGACGUGACGAGCGACCUGCGAGUGCUGGGCCGAGCGGCGGCCGCCCUCAGCCUGAGGCUGCCCCUGGCCAUUGGCCGGCACUCGUCGCUGCUGGAGACACUCGAGAAGUGGGUGGAGCCGGCCUCGCUGUUCACCAGUCUCACUCCGCACUGCUCACUAGACAGCCGCGUCGACUUGCAGGCUGUGGUCAUACGGGGUGUCGGCAAGGAUAGACUCAUGGGUAAACUACCAGAUGGGGCUGACCCCAGCAACCCAGCCUAUCAGUGCCGCACAGUGGAGGAAAUGCUCAGUCUGUUCAUAUCGUUCUCAAACCAGGACCACAGUGUCAGGACAAGGGUGACGUCAUGCGCCGACCCUCUGGGCACCUCAGAUCCGUUCCCACACAUCUUCAACGAACAGCUGAUCGCACCUGACGGAUAUCUCAAGGAGUAUGUCGAUGAAAACAGUCAUACAGGUGUCCAAAAAAGCGCUGCCUUAGCCGGCCUGCAUAGCACGGAUUCUCUGGGCGAGAUGCUACAGUCUCUUCACAAAGAAACAAAACGAAUCAAGGUCAGCCGACUGCCAGGCUUCUUCGAAUCGGGUCUGGAGAGUUUGGAGUGUGAAGAGAAACUGGAACAGCUGUUGUGUCUGAGUGAGUGCUACGGACACUCCUAUGACCAGUGAUCUAUGAUCUAUGCGUGAGUGUCGUCUAUAGGUGCGUACAGAUAUACGCGCCUCGAACACGCUUCGCACUCGCUCCGAUCAUGAUCGUUACGCGAGAUGUUACGCAAGGGUUCGCAUUGUGUCGUUACGCAAGGGUUCGCAUUGUGUCGUAUUGUUGACUUCGCUACAACCUAACCUCACAAAUGUGAAACAUUCAAUCCAGCUGAUCGGCUGACAAAAACUAAAUAAAAUAUUCUGACCAGGGGAUUCUGGUAGCCUAAUAAUACAUUAUGUUUAUAUAAUAAAUUGAUGAUAAUUAUUAUGUUUGUUGCAUUUAUGCUGACGUUUUAUUACAAAAAAGGUUAUGUCUGUCAAUGUUUUGAAAGGUGAAAGGCGUGGUGUGGAGUUUGGCUUCUUUCUUCUAAAUUUAAAUAUAAAAUGAAAACAGUUACUGUAGUCAUCAUAAAGAUGAUUACGUCAUCUGUUAUUUCUCAGCAUUAAUUUUAUUUCUAAACAAAUCCAACUCUAUGAAUCGGAGGAUAGAAACAUCUGUAGCAACAUAUACAAAUCAAUUACACCAAAAAAGCUCAUGAGUGAAAAAGGACUCACCAUAUCUAUUACUAAAUAGAGUUACUUGAAAAAAUAAUGUUGAAAACAAUGUCUGAGACUCUGUCUCAAAGACAAAUAAUAGUGCAGUAAUGAAUAACAUCACAUUACAGUUUACAACCUUCAAUAGAGUAAGAGAAGCAGUGAAAAUUAGCAGAUGAGGUGACAAUAGGGUACUGUAUAUUAGUCAGCUUUUCAAUAGGUUGUCUUCACAUGGUUACAAAAUGUGCCAAUAAAUCAAACUCUAAAGUGUACUGGUAGUCAGUAGGUCGACAUUUCAUUUGAAUAACUAAGAUAUUUGAAUAAUUAGGAUAUUAAUAAUUGACCGAAAGAAGUGAGGUCUAAGAAUCAAGUCGACGGUUUGGCAUUUCUCUUAAUGUUUAAAUGUUUCUAUGUUGCGCAUUUACGGCGAAA